GACCUGGUGGUGGAGUGGUUACCAUGCCUGCCGUACAUAAACCGAAUAUGUUCAUACUUUUAAGCAGGAGUCCCCCGUUCGAUUCGGGGUCAGGUCU